rnacentral:rRNA from 1 species
AUUGAACGCUGGCGGCAGGCCUAACACAUGCAAGUCGAGCGGAGCGGCGGACGGGUGAGUAAUUCCUAGGAAUCUGCCUGGUAGCGGGGGAUAACGUCCGGAAACGGGCGCUAAUACCGCAUACUAUCAGAUGAGCCUAGGUCGGAUUAGCUAGUUGGUGGGGUAAAGGCCUACUAAGGCGACGAUCCGUAACUGGUCUGAGCGGAUGAUCGGUCACACUGGAACUGGGGCACGGUCCCGGCUCCUACGGGAGGCAGCAGUGGGAAAUAUUGGACAAUGGGCGCAAGCCUGAUCCAGCCAUGCCGCGUGUUUGAAGAAGAUCUUCGGAUUGUAAAGCACUUGAAAUGGGGAGGCGUUACCAACAGAAUAAGCACCGGCUAACUUCGUGCCAGCAGCCGCGGUAAUAC